rnacentral:rRNA from 1 species
GAUGAACGCUGGCGGCGUGCUUAAUACAUGCAAGUCGAGCGAACGGACGCUAAGCUUGCUUUUUUGAUGUUUGGGGAGGACGGGUGAGUCACACGUGGAUAACCUACUUAUAAGACUGGUAUCACUUCGGGAAAGCGGAGCUAAUACCGGAUAAUAUUUUGAACCGCAUGGUUCAAUAGUGAAAGACGGUCUUUCUGUCACGAAUAGAUGGAUCCGCGCUGCAUUAGCUAGUUGGUAAGGUACCGGGCUACCAAGGCGACGAGGCAUAAACGACCGGAGAGGCGGGUAGGCGACCUUAGAACUGAGCCACGGACCAGACUACUGCGGGAGGCAGCAGUAGGCAACCUGACGCAAUAGGCGAAAACAUGACAGAGCGACGCCACGUCAGUGAUGAAGGUCUUGGGAUCGUGAAGCUCUGUUAUUAGUGAAAAACAUAUGUGUAAGUAACUGUGCACAUCUUGACGGUACCUGAUCAGAAAGCCACGGCUAACUACGUG